ensembl:lncRNA
UGUGUGUGUGUAUGUGUGUGUGUGUACAUGUGUGUGUGUUUCUGUGUGUGUGUGUGUGUGUGUGUGUGUGUGUGUGUGUGUGUGUGUGUGUGUGUGUGUGUGUGUGUGUGUGUGUGUGUGUGUGUGUGUGUGUCUCUGUGUGUGUGUGUCUCUGUGUGUGUGUGUAUGUGUGAUACUCAGUGUUGUGUUCUAGAACACCUAAAGCGAGACCGAUUUAAGACAAAGCCCGCAGCAAAAUCGAGUCCGAGUCAAGACCGGAGGGGGACGAGAGGCCGAGGUCAAGCCCGAGACCAGAAAAAUGCGAGUCCAAUCGAAGACCAUGACUGUAAUUUUGUCUAAUCGUCACCAUAAUAAUAGUAAACAAAUAUAGACAUUAAGAUUGGUGAAAAAAUACAUGCUGAGGGCAAAAAAAAAACACUCUACAAAAUAUGACUAACCCAAGCAUAGUGGGGAACAAUGAGGGCCUUCCAUGCUUGUCAGCGAUGUUUGAUUUAAUCUCUUCAGUUUUUGUUGGAAAGUAAAAAGUUAACGCUGAAGAGAAAAAAGGUAGAAUGAGAUUUUUUCUUUGGUGGUCUCUGGGGAGAUAAAUCUAGUGAGCUAGGUCAGCCGUUGGCUAGGCCAUCAGAACCUUGAAUAGAAGGCAUCUGCCAUUCAGCUGUAUUAGGGCAAAUAUUUGGGGUGACAGUGGAAUCAACCAAUCACAUUGACCUUUAAUAGGCAACAGAUCGAAGGCCAACAGGUCACUGUGCCAUAGCGAGCAAUAGUUUUCCCACGCCAUAGAUAGCUAGCUUUUGUUGGAAGUUAUUUUCCGGCGUCUGCAGCAGGCGUCAUGGAAGAGGAUGUUGUUGCUAAUUUGUUAGCUUCUUUGUUAGCUUCUCCCUUUUCAAGUUUCAAAUGAUCAUCUGUUGAGUGGAACAAUGUUUUUAUUACAGCUUGAAUGCUGUUGUUAGCCAUUUCUUUGAAAAUAACCUGUGUGUGAAACAUUGUUGCGUUUAACCUUUAGAUCAGUGGUUACUUCGAUUGGGACAUGUUUAGCCUAAUGAUCGUGUUUUUUGUGUUCUUAUGAUUGGGACCUACUGGCUUGGUAUGUCAGAGUGAAUGGACUGCUGUCGUUCUAUUGGCCCUAUGCAGUGGUGUAGUGGUCCAUGGAAAAGUGGGUCCUGUCUGACAAAUCCUCAAAAUCUUUCAGAUUUUCACUCUCAAAAUGACACUUAACAACACUUAUUGUUGUUGUAAGUCCACAAGAAAGCUUAAACCACAUCAGGAAAUCAUUUUUAAGGUCUGGGAAGAAGAGAAAAAAAAGAAUUUUGGAAGGUGUAGUUAUUAACCUUUAGUUAACUUGAGCACAACAAACGCCUUCCCCAUUGAUACAAAUCAGCAUUAUAUCAUUCUGUCAGGUAGGUCACAUUGCAAUCAACAUUUAAUUGGGAGGGUUUUUUAAGAAAACCUUUAGAGAUGUUUAUCCAAACAGUGCAUAAUGACUGAAUCGCUAAUAGCCUACUAACCAAGAGUAAGGACCAAACUUUUUCAACACCUGGUUUGCAUACCUAUUGUUGCCUUAGUUAGCAUUUACUGGUAGAUAUCAUAAGUUGAAACGUCUUUCCUACCCUAUCCGGCUACCGAUGUCAUUCAUCUGUGAGCUGCUCCAUGCCAACACUAGUUGAGAGCUGCACACUCUUGCUGCCCCUGGAGAUGAUAUUCUGCUGAAACUAGGAUGCGUGUGGCAGCGCGCAUGUGAAUAUAUUUCCAGUGAUUUGCGGUUGUUCAGGCUACUUUGUGCAUGAUUUCACUACAUCAUUCUACUACAUUAUUGAUAAGUCGUAUACCUCCACUAUACUACAUUGAUACGCAUCAGUAGGGAUUAAGAAGUGAGUAUAUGCAAUGCCCACUGAAAAUAAAGUUGGCAUAGGGGCGUAUACCCUCCACAACGCCACUUUGUGUUUUACCCUCCACAACGCCACUUUGUGUUUUACCCUCCACAACGCCACUUUGUGUUUUACCCUCCACAAGGCCCUUUGUGUUUUACAAAACAUGCACUGUCCUACGAGUGUCCUUUCAGAAUCACCAACCUGUCACACACUGAAGACCUAUAGGUUCACCACUGUACUAACCUGUCACACUGAAGACCUAUAGGUUCACCACUGUACUAACCUGUCACACACUGAAGACCUAUAGGUUCACUACUGUACUAACCUGUCACACACUGAAGACCUAUAGGUUCA